CGGCCGCGUCGACACGCUGGCGGCGUGCCUAAUACAUGCAAGUAGAACGCUGAAGAGAGGAGCUUGCUCUUCUUGGAUGAGUUGCGAACGGGUGAGUAACGCGUAGGUAACCUGCCUUGUAGCGGGGGAUAACUAUUGGAAACGAUAGCUAAUACCGCAUAACAAUGGAUGACACAUGUCAUUUAUUUGAAAGGGGCAAUUGCUCCACUACAAGAUGGACCUGCGUUGUAUUAGCUAGUAGGUGGUCGACGCGGCCG
rnacentral:rRNA from 1 species